GUCCCCUGGUCACAGGAGGCCCUGCAGUGUCACAAGGGCCCCUUGGUUCUAUGGAGCCCACAGGGUCAAUUUUGCCAGUGGGCAGGGUCAGCACCAAAGACACAGACUCCAACUGAAGAUAUUGCGUCAUUUAUAUAAGGACAGGGCAGCGCACAUGAGGCACAGGGGGAGCCAGAAUCUGGUUUUCUGAGAACAAAGGCACUCCUUGGGUGGAAAAUGUUCUCUUGGCCCCAACUCUUCCUUGUGAUUGUUGCUGAAGGACUCUCAAGGGAGGCAUCAGCAUUGCCCGGAAACAGGACCCAAACCAUCCUUUAGGAAGCUGUUUAUGGGCAGUGUCCACACACCCAGCAGCUCCCAUUCCCAGUACCAAAAGUCUGAUUUCCCAUUUCCCACUGUGGGCUGCUGAUGGAUCCAGGGCUCCUCCCUGGGCCCUCCAAGGGAACCCCAUUCCUCCCAACAUCAGUUGAGAACAUUUCCAGAAAUUGGUUACAUUGAGUAUUUUGGCUACUUUGAUCUUUACAUUCUCAUAAGAAUUUAAUGACUAAUCCUUGGUGAAACACUAGAGGUGUUCGUGGCAAACAAAGAUUCUGGCUGACUCUCAAGACACAACUUACAGACAUCAGCAGUACUUCAGUGACAAGGUUACUCAUUCUUUUUCCUCAGUCUCAUUUGGGUUAGGAACAAUAAUUCUGUCGUUCAUGGAGCUGGCACUGUGUUAAUUCCAGAAUAAUGCCCCCAAGUCCUUUGCUGUUCAGCUUUAGCACGGUGUCUGUGGCUAACAAGGCUUGAUGGGGCCCUUUCCCCUUUGGCUGGAAGGGGGCCGGGUCCCAGUCCCUGAGGGCACCCAGGCUCCUGGAUGGAAUUUGUGUGCAAGUCCCUCAGUGUCACAGCAACCUCCACAUGGAGCCCUGUGGCUCAGAGCAUUUUCCAAAGGGGCCAUUGAGGCAAACAAAGAGAUUUGGUCUGGCAGGGUGCCUAAAACAAUCUCCUGUAAUAUUUCCUUUUUCUCACACAGAACACUUGGAUGCAGGGACACAUUCCCAUUGUUCCUGCCCAGGUUUCAGGAUUCAAACAGUGCUGUCUUUCCCAGGAGCUGUUCCUUCAAUUGCCUCAGGAGGGCUUUUUGGCCUCUGGAGCUACACUCUGGCUCCAUAAUUAGGACUGAUGCAUCCAAACCCUUUAUCUUUACUAACAGCAGUGAUUUGAGGUGGAUGUCCUUUUUUCCAAUUGUUUUAAAAACUGACAAUAUCAGUAAUAGUGCUACUCUGUAGUUGAAUAAUCCAAUUUUGUUCACUGUUUUUAACACAAUUCCUUUAAUUUUUCCUUGAUAAAUCUGCAUUAGUUCCUCCUCCCAUCACAUGAACACUUUUCAAGGCCAAGCUCCAGUGAGCAGUUAUCAAACCAAAGUGUCCUGGAGGAAUCUGAAUUACUGUUUUGGUAUUUAUAACUCUCAUUUGCUUCUGAUUUAUGCUAAUUAAUUCCAAGGCAUGAAGGUCCAGCCCUGCAGCCUCUGGGCUGGCCCUGCCAGGGGCCAUCACACCCAGAACAAUUUCCCUGGCAGUCCAAGCCUCAAUGCCCCUGGUUGUAGUUGCAAAUUGGGUGCAGCUGUGCACAGCCAGGGGUUUCUAUUUCCCCAGUGGGCCACUGUUAAGGGCAUGGAGCACAUCUGGGAGAUGGGUUCUCCAUGGGGACAGGUUCCCAUCUCCUCAUUUGUUCAACUGCUCUUUUAAUAACCCCUACACCCAUUCAACCAAUCCUGCAGCUUGUGGAUUGUCUGGGAUAUGAAAAACCCAGCAGACUUAAUAAUUGUAUUUUUCACACUAACAGACAAAGGAUUCCCCAUCACAGUAUCAGCAAAUCCUAUAAAAAUAGCCAAAUUCAUCCCUUCCUCCUUUAUCU